rnacentral:rRNA from 1 species
CUGGCGGCAUUUCUAACACAUGAAGUCGAACGGACUUUAGUGAAGGAAGUUUUCGGAUGGAAUUCACCGAGGUUAGUGGCGGACGGGUGAGUAACGCGUGGGUAACCUGCCCAUAAGACUGGGAUAACUUCGGGAAACCGGAGCUAAUACCGGAUAUAUUCUUUUGUCUGCAUGGAUAGAAGAAAAAAGAUGGCCUCUCGACGAAGCUAUCGCUUAUGGAUGGACCCGCGUCUGAUUAGCUAGUUGGUGAGGUAACGGCUCACCAAGGCGACGAUCAGUAGCCGGCCUGAGAGGGUGAACGGCCACACUGGGACUGAGACACGGCCCAGACUCCUACGGGAGGCAGCAGUGGGGAAUCUUCCGCAAUGGGCGAAAGCCUGACGGAGCAAUGCCGCGUGAGUGAAGAAGGCCUUCGGGUUGUAAAACUCUGUCCUAAGGGAAGAAUGUACUUUGUGUAAAUAAUGCAAGGUAAUGACGGUACCUUGGGAGGAAGCCCCGGCUAACUACGUGCCAGCAGCCGCGGUAAUACGUAGGGGGCGAGCGUUGUCCGGAAUUACUGGGCGUAAAGCGCGCGUAGGCGGAUUAUUAAGUCAGAUGUGAAAACUCUGGGCUCAACCGAGAGCAUGCAUCUGAUACUGGUAGUCUUGAGUGUAGAAGAGGAGAGUGGAAAUUCCUAGUGUAGCGGUGAAAUGCGUAGAUAUUAGGAGGAACACCCGUGGCGAA